rnacentral:rRNA from 1 species
GAUGAACGCUGGCGGCGUGCCUAAUACAUGCAAGUCGAGCGAACAGACGAGGAGCUUGCUCCUCUGACGUUAGCGGCGGACGGGUGAGUAACACGUGGAUAACCUACCUAUAAGACUGGGAUAACUUCGGGAAACCGGAGCUAAUACCGGAUAAUAUAUUGAACCGCAUGGUUCAAUAGUGAAAGACGGUUUUGCUGUCACUUAUAGAUGGAUCCGCGCCGCAUUAGCUAGUUGGUAAGGUAACGGCUUACCAAGGCAACGAUGCGUAGCCGACCUGAGAGGGUGGUCGGCCCCACCGGAAAUGGAGCCCGGUCCAGACUCCUAAGGGAGGGAGGAGUAGGGAAUCCUUCGCAAUGGGGGAAAGCCUGACGGAGCAACGCCGCGUGAGUGAUGAAGGUCUUCGGAUCGUAAAACUCUGUUAUUAGGGAAGAACAAAUGUGUAAGUAACUAUGCACGUCUUGACGGUACCUAAUCAGAAAGCCACGGCUAACUACGUG